GCCCCCGUAGCUCAGGGGAUAGAGCACCCGCCUCCGGAGCGGGGGGCGCAAGUUCGAAUCUUGCCGGGGGCA
rnacentral:tRNA from 1 species